rnacentral:rRNA from 1 species
UAAAAUGUAAUUUUGAAAUCUAAGUGAUUAAUAGUUAAGUUCUUUAAAGCUAAAUAAUUUGGCGGUAUUUUAUUCUUUUCAGAGGAACCUGCCCUGUAAUUGAUACUCCACGAUUAAAUUAACUUAAAUUAGAAAUUUUUAUAUCGUCGUUUUUAAAAAUUUUAUUAGAAUUAAAUUUUUAAUUUUCUUUAUUUAGAAAUAAGUCAGAUCAAGGUGAAGUUUAUAUUUAAGAAGAGGUGGGUUACAAUUUAUUAUAUUAAUGGAUUAAUUAUAUAAAAUUUUUAUGAAAUUGGAUUUGAAAGUAAUUAAAUAUUAUUUUUUUAAUGAUUAAGCACUAAAAUAUGU